CGAUCAACAUGUACACCUUUU
rnacentral:piRNA from 1 species